rnacentral:rRNA from 1 species
AGCAGCCGCGGUAAUUCCAGCUCCAAUAGCGUAUAUUAAAGUUGUUGCAGUUAAAAAGCUCGUAGUUGAAUUUUGGGUCUGGCCGGGCGGUCCGCCCUCUGGGUGAGCACUGUUCCGACGCCGGGCCUAUCCUUCUGGUGAGUCGGCAUGUCCUUUGUUGGGUGUGUCGGGGAACCAGGACCAUUACCUUGAAAAAUUAGAGUGUUCAAAGCAGGCGUAUGCUCGGAUACAUUAGCAUGGAAUAAUGAAAUAGGACGCGUGGUGCUAUUUUGUUGGUUUCUAGAACCGCCGUAAUGAUUAAUAGGGAUAGUUGGGGGCAUUAGUAUUCAAUUGUCAGAGGUGAAAUUCUUGGAUUUAUUGAAGACUAACUUCUGCGAAAGCAUUUGCCAAGGAUGUUUUCAUUAAUCAAGAACGAAAGUUAGGGGAUCGAAGACGAUCAGAUACCGUCGU